AGGAUAAACGCUGGCGGCGUGCCUAAUCAAUGCGAGUCGAACGGGCACCUUCGGGUGUCAGUGGCGUCCGGGUGUUAGUAACGCGUAGCUAACCUGCCCACAGGUGGGGGAUACCCGCCAGAAAUGGCGGCUAAAUACCGCAUAGCGUGACGAGGGGGUGACCUUCGGCACGAAAGCAGCGAGGUGUCUGUGGAGGGGGCUGCGUCCGAUUAGCUGGUCGGUGGGGUAACGGCCUACCGAGGCGACGAUCGGUAGCUGGU
rnacentral:rRNA from 1 species